UACAGAGGUCCCGAGCGUUGUUCGGAUUCAUUGGGCGUAAAGGGUGCGUAGGUGGCGCUGUAAGUGGGGUGUGAAAUCCCGGGGCUUAACACCGGGACUGCAUUCCAUACUGCGGUGCUUGAGGACUGGAGAGGAGACUGGAAUUUACGGUGUAGCAGUGAAAUGCGUAGAGAUCGUAAGGAAGACCAGUGGCGAAGGCGGGUCUCUGGACAGUUCCUGACGCUGAGGCACGAAGGUCAGGGGAGCAAACGGG
rnacentral:rRNA from 1 species